rnacentral:rRNA from 1 species
GGAAAGGCGAAAAGAACCCCGGCGAGGGGAGUGAAAUAGAACCUGAAACCGUGUACGUACAAGCAGUGGGAGCCCCACCACCAAAGCAUUUUCUGGUGUUGAGGACAACUUUGAAGUGGCAUUCAACACGCGUUGGCGGAGCGCUUUUUGCGACGCCCAACACACAAAACAAGCAGUGAAUGUGCUUUGGGGUGGGGUGACUGCGUACCUUUUGUAUAAUGGGUCAGCGACUUAUAUUCUGUAGCAAGGUUAACCGUAUAGGGGAGCCGUA